AUUGAACGCUGGCGGCAGGCCUAACACAUGCAAGUCGAACGGUAACAGGAAGCAGCUUGCUGCUUCGCUAACGAGUGGCGGACGGGUGAGUAAUGUCUGGGAAGCUGCCUGAUGGAGGGGGAUAACUACUGGAAACGGUAGCUAAUACCGCAUAAUGUCGCAAGACCAAAGAGGGGGACCUUCGGGCCUCUUGCCAUCGGAUGUGCCCAGAUGGGAUUAGCUUGUUGGUGGGGUAACGGCUCACCAAGGCGACGAUCCCUAGCUGGUCUGAGAGGAUGACCAGCCACACUGGAACUGAGACACGGUCCAGACUCCUACGGGAGGCAGCAGUGGGGAAUAUUGCACAAUGGGCGCAAGCCUGAUGCAGCCAUGCCGCGUGUAUGAAGAAGGCCUUCGGGUUGUAAAGUACUUUCAGCGGGGAGGAAGGGAGUAAAGUUAAUACCUUUGCUCAUUGACGUUACCCGCAGAAGAAGCACCGGCUAACUCCGUG
rnacentral:rRNA from 1 species